rnacentral:antisense_RNA from 1 species
AGAAGGAAUCAGGAGGCAGAGCACAUGGUUAAAGCAUGAGAUGUGAAACCAGGAAGAACCAGGUCUGAAUCUUAGCUCCACCAGUGGUAGCUCCAAACCUUAGUCCUUUCUGAGCCUGCUUCUUCAACCCUAAGGGAACACUACACUUCCUUAAAAAUUAAGAGUGUGUGCUACACUGCUUUACUAGAGCAAGACCAAAAGCAGCUUCAAUUAUGGUACAACUGUGUGAAGACACAAUGCAAAACCACUCAAGAAUGCUCACUCAAAUGGAUCUUUUACGAUGGAAUUCGGAAACGGGACCCAGAAAGUUGUUUCCUGCAAGUGGCUGGAACAACACAAGCAAUAAUUCUCUGCAUCUUAAUUCCCUCAUCUGUAAAAUGGAAAUAAUACACCUACCUUCUCAGUUUACUGUGAGGAAAAAAUGAAUCAACACAUAUAUAAAGCACCUGGCACAGUGCGUGGCAUAUGAGGUUCCUUGGGAAUUCCUUCAGAAGUUAAAUAGUUUACCCAAGGUGUCACAACUACGUAAGGUGGCCCAGCUCAAGAUUCAAAUGCAAGUUCAUAUGACUCUGAA